ensembl:snoRNA LOC120094901 small nucleolar RNA SNORA48
AACCCCUGGCAAUGGCCAAAGAAACACCUUGUUGAUGGUAUUGUUCUUAUAUCAGUCAGGGGCAGAACAGAUGGCAGUCCUUUGUUAUCCUAGCUUGUUUCUUAGCUUGGUGGCCAAUGCUGUUUUAUGCCUAGGAUACAUAG